rnacentral:rRNA from 1 species
GACAGAGGGUGCAAACGUUGUUCGGAAUUACUGGGCGUAAAGCGCGUGUAGGCUGCUCUGCAAGUCGGGUGUGAAAGCCCCGGGCUCAACCUGGGAAGUGCACUCGAAACUGCAGAGCUCGAGUCCUGGAGAGGAAGGCGGAAUUCUCGGUGUAGAGGUGAAAUUCGUAGAUAUCGAGAGGAACACCGGUGGCGAAGGCGGCCUUCUGGACAGUGACUGACGCUUAGACGCGAAAGCGUGGGGAGCAAACAGG